rnacentral:tRNA from 2 species
ACGCUCGUAGCUCAGUGGAAGAGAGCACCGCCCUGCGACGGCGGAGGCCGCUGGUUCGAAUCCAGCCGAGCGUG